rnacentral:rRNA from 1 species
UCCGCCUGGGAACUACGAGCACAAACGCUUAAAACUCUAAGGACUUGGCGGUGCCCUAAACCCACCUAGAGGAGCCUGUUCUAUAAUCGAUAACCCACGUUACACCCAACCGCCUCUUGCCAAAACAGCCUAUAUACCGCCGUCGCCAGCUCACCUCUCCUGAGAGCCCAAUAGUGAGCACAAUAGCCGAACCCGCUAGUAAGACAGGUCGAGGUAUAGCCUAUGGGGCGGAAGAAAUGGGCUACAUUUUCUAAGAUAGAAUACCCACGGAAAGAGAUGUGAAACCAUCCCUCGAAGGCGGAUUUAGUAGUAA